UGGUAGUUGGAUUCCACCUCUGGAAGUGAGC
rnacentral:piRNA from 1 species